rnacentral:rRNA from 1 species
AGGACGAACGCUGGCGGCGUGCCUAACACAUGCAAGUCGAACGGACGAGGGGAGCUUGCUCCCUGAGUUAGUGGCGAACGGGUGAGUAACGCGUGAGCAACCUGCCUUUCAGAGGGGGACAACGGUUGGAAACGACCGCUAAUACCGCAUGAAGCAAUCGGACCGCAUGAUCUGAUUGCCAAAGAUUUUAUCGCUGAAAGAUGGGCUCGCGUCUGAUUAGAUAGUUGGUGGGGUAACGGCUCACCAAGUCGACGAUCAGUAGCCGGACUGAGAGGUUGAACGGCCACAUUGGGACUGAGAUACGGCCCAGACUCCUACGGGAGGCGGCAGUGGGGAAUAUUGGGCAAGUACGGGGGAAACCCUGACCCAGCAACGCCGCGUGAAGGAAGAAGGCUUUCGGGUUGUAAACUUCUUUACCAGGGACGAAGGACGUGACGGUACCUGGAGAAAAAGCCACGGCUAACUACGUGCCAGCAGCUGC